AUGUGAGUCAUCGAAUCUUUGAACGCACAUUGCGCCCGCCAGUAUUCUGGCGGGCAUGCCUGUCUGAGCGUCAUUUCAACCCUCAUGCCCCUAGGGCGUGGUGUUGGGGAUCGGCCAAAGCCCGCGAGGGACGGCCGGCCCCUAAAUCUAGUGGCGGACCCGUCGUGGCCUCCUCUGCGAAGUAGUGAUAUUCCGCAUCGGAGAGCGACGAGCCCCUGCCGUUAAACCCCCAACUUUCCAAGGUUGACCUCAGAUCAGGUAGGAAUACCCGCUGAACUUAAGCAUAUCAAUAAGCGGAGG
rnacentral:misc_RNA from 1 species